AGUAAACAGGGCAAAAUCCUGGCCAGAGGUCCGUCACUAAGUUGCCCAGCCUCUGCGAGCCCCAAAUGUAAAAUGCAUACGGUACUCGGAACGCCAGGUGACGGCGAGGAGCGACGGAGCGCGCCCGGGAGAGUGCGUACGGCUGCGGGCCGAGUGGGGCCGCGCUCGCCGGGGCUCAGGGCCCGCGCGUGCGUGCGAGCGAGCAAGGGGCUCCCGGGCCUCGGCGCGUGGUCUGCGCGCGCCCGGCCGUGCGUGCGGCUGCGGGAGGCUGCGUGUGCGCGCGGGGCGGCAGCAUCGGCAGCCCGCCAGCCGCUGUCGGAGCAGGCUUCGUGCCGCGCGCGGGAGUAGUUCACAGCAAAUCUUUUAAUUAAGCAUGGAGUAUGGAAAACAGCAGAAAAACUUCUGCUAGUGCUUUAGUCUCAUCUGAAAUUCUAUGGGCAUGUGUCUUAUAAGCAGUAUAAUGGCAGAAUUUUAAGCCAAUUUGAGAAUCUCUUGUCUUUUAGUAG